rnacentral:sRNA from 1 species
CAGCCAGAUUAGCGCGUACAGAGCUGUAUAAGUCUGUAUAGCUGGCACUGUACGGCUUAUACAGCCCUGGACAGGGUCACCGAACAGGCCCUUACUGAUCAGGGGUAUCGCCGUUUCGCCAUGGUCCGAACCAAAUUCAUGUGUCUCCUCUGAGGGAGCAUCUAUCAUCUUCCCAUCUUCCAAAUCAACAAUCCAGUUUUUAGACACCUGCCACUGCUACUGCUCCAUAGCUCUGAGCCAAAAACCAAGUCAUUUAGUUUGCCCCAGAUGGUGCCUAAACGCAACACUCCGCUUUCCUUCAUGGAAAAGCUGUCGUUUGCAGUGUCUCUACCGCCCUCCCACGUCUAUACCCACGCUUCCGACCACUGAUCCUGAGCUUGUGCUUAUUCUAGGCUGGAUGGAUGCGCGCGUUGCCCACUUAGCGACAUACAUUAAACAGUAUCAGACUAUGUACCCUUCUUCGCCC